AACCCCUCAACAGAGAAUAAAUAUUUUAAGAACCAUUUGUAUUUAGGGCUUGCUAUAAAAGUUCAAAAAAAUUGGAUAAAAGCUUAGAUUCAAAAUAUGUACUAAAACUAAUUCUCGGAUUAAACGUAGAUGGGCCAUACAACGCCAAUUGAGAUAUACUAUGACAAAAUAAUAAUUUAACUACUAGAAGUAUGAGUAAGGGUCAAAAACCGCGAAAUUUGUAACAUAGAGAAAUGAUUAUCCAUUUUACUUUUAUUUCACGUCGGCUAGUGAGCGGUAGUGAGUCCAGUGAUCUCCGUUUUCUUUUGAUUUUCUCUAAGUUCCCGCAGAUUAAGAAUCACCAAGGGCGAACACACUGCUCCUGUGCGUUCUUAAUUUCCAUUACAAAGCGUCCAACGGGCGCUUUUUUUAUACGGGCAUAAAGCUCGUCAGUUUCCGCCAUCUUUUCGGCCACCGUGCCAGCUGUGCACUCUCGGUGUGGAUUUCCGCUAGGCCCGCCAGUUUCCUGGUAGCCAAACGGGGUGAGAGGAUUUACUGGCCUGCUUGCGUUCGUUCGCGGACGAUCUGGUAGAGUACCGGUCUCGCCGACACCCUCCCCCGCAACUUUAAGUCGGCCUGAAGAAGCGACGAUUUCCCUGGCAACACCGACCGCCUCGAGGCAUCCGGGCCCGACCAGGGUUCUUAUAUCAGGGUUCACUCACUUCGACAGUAGAUGGGAGAGACUAGCGCGGGGGUGAAAAAUUCAUUUUCAGUGCAAAACAUAAACAAACUUGGUGACUGCCCCAUAUAAAAAUCCAAGAUGGCUGAAUCAUGUAAUUGGCAUACUGCUACACCUGUUUGUAUUCACCUUGGGCCCGACCGCCCCUGGUGACGAGAACAGCUACACCGUCCCACAUCAGGUCAUCGCACACCAUCCGUGCACCCCCGGUUGACGAACCGAAUGUUGGUAGCAUAAAACCCUGCGCAGGUAUGUUUCGCCAUGGCCAAUAUACACUCACAACACAUACACUGAUACACACACGAAAGGAAGAUGAAUGAAUACAUGUAAAUGAA